UACGUAGGGUGCGAGCGUUAAUCGGAAUUACUGGGCGUAAAGCGUGCGCAGGCGGUUCGUUAAGUUCGUUGUGAAAGCCCCGGGCUCAACCUGGGAACUGCAAUGGAAACUGGCGGGCUUGAGUGUGGCAGAGGGGGGUGGAAUUCCGCGUGUAGCGGUGAAAUGCGCAGAUAUCAGGAGGAACACCGGUGGCGAAGGCGGGUCUCUGGGCCGAUACUGACGCUGAGGAGCGAAAGCGUGGGGAGCGAACAGG
rnacentral:rRNA from 1 species